rnacentral:tRNA from 1 species
GGAACGUGAUCAGUGGCCUGGGGCCACGGCUGGUUGUAACCCAGCUGCCCUUCGCGGGCGGGAGGUUCGAUUCCUUCACGUUCCA